rnacentral:rRNA from 1 species
UACGGAGGGUGCAAGCGUUAUCCGGAUUCACUGGGUUUAAAGGGUGCGUAGGUGGGCAGGUAAGUCAGUGGUGAAAUCUCCGGGCUUAACCCGGAAACUGCCGUUGAUACUAUCUGUCUUGAAUACUGUGGAGGUAAGCGGAAUAUGUCAUGUAGCGGUGAAAUGCUUAGAUAUGACAUAGAACACCAAUUGCGAAGGCAGCUGGCUACACAAAUAUUGACACUGAGGCUCGAAAGCGUGGGGAUCAAACAGG